CUGGAGUGGAGGCGAGAAGGCUGAACCUGACAGAGAUUCGCGAAGAAGCCAAAAAGCUGCUGAUCUCAGGAUUCCCAGAGCCAGGCUGAAUACUGUAGGCCUUGCUGAAGGGCCCAGAGAAUGAAGAACAAGUACUAAAGAGGCCCCCAAAUAGCCCAAGGAAAUGAAGAAAGAGUCCCUGCACCUGUCUCCCUGAACCCAUUAUCUAAAUGAGUCAGAAGAGCAGGUUGGGGCACAGCAUGCACCUGCAGGUUGGAGAAAGGGGAGCUGCAUAAGA